rnacentral:rRNA from 1 species
ACGCUCGACACCUACGGGAGGCAGCAGUGGGGAAUAUUGGGCAAUGGGCGCAAGCCUGACCCAGCAACGCCGCGUGAAGGAUGAAGGCUUUCGGGUUGUAAACUUCUUUUAUCAGGGACGAAACAAAUGACGGUACCUGAUGAAUAAGCCACGGCUAACUACGUGCCCGCAGCCGCGGUAAUCUGAGCGGGCUGGCAAGGC